AAUCAACGCUGGCGGCGUGCCUCAGACAUGCAAGUCGAACGAUUAAGACUUCCUUCGGGAAGUGCAUAAAGUGGCGCACGGGUGAGUAACACGUAAGUAAUCUACCCUCGAGUGGGGAAUAACGUUCGGGAACGAGCGCUAAUACCGCAUAAUGCAGCGGCAUCGCAAGAUGACAGUUGUUAAAGGAGUAAUUCGCUUGAGGAGGAGCUUGCGGCAGAUUAGCUAGUUGGUAAGGUAACGGCUUACCAAGGCUACGAUCUGUAUCCGGUCUAAGAGGACGGUCGGACACACUGACACUGAAUAACGGGUCAGACUCCUACGGGAGGCAGCAGUCGGGAAUUUUGGGCAAUGGGGGAAACCCUGACCCAGCAACGCCGCGUGAAGGAUGAAGUAUUUCGGUAUGUAAACUUCGAAAGAAUGGGAAGAAUAAAUGACGGUACCAUUUAUAAGCUCCGGCUAACUACGUGCCAGCCGCCGCCGUAAAAC
rnacentral:rRNA from 1 species